ACGGAAGGCAGCAGUGAGGAAUAUUGGUCAAUGGACGCAAGUCUGAACCAGCCAUGCCGCGUGCAGGAAUAAGGCCCUAUGGGUCGUAAACUGCUUUUGUGGUGGAGCAAUAAGUCGUACGUGUACGGCGAUGAGAGUACAUCACGAAUAAGCAUCGGCUAACUCCGUGCCAGCAGCCGCGGUAAUACGGAGGAUGCAAGCGUUAUCCGGAUUUAUUGGGUUUAAAGGGUGCGUAGGCUGUGGUCCAAGUCAGGGGUGAAAGCCCGGAGCUCAACUCCGGAACUGCCUUUGAUACUGGAUUGCUGGAAUACGGAUGACGUGGGAGGAAUGAGUAGUGUAGCGGUGAAAUGCAUAGAUAUUACUCAGAACACCGAUUGCGAAGGCAUCUCACGAAUCCGUCAUUGACGCUGAGGCACGAAAGCGUGGGGAUCAAACAGGAUUAGAUACCCUGGUA
rnacentral:rRNA from 1 species